rnacentral:rRNA from 1 species
UAACUGCGAGUGAAGCGGGAAAAGCUCAAAUUUAAAAUCUGGCAGUCUUUGAUUGUCCGAGUUGUAUUCUAGAGAAGUGUUUUCCGCGUUGGACCGUGUACAAGUCUCUUGGAACAGAGCGUCAUAGAGGGUGAGAAUCCCGUCUUUGACACGGACUACCAAUGCUUUGUGAUGCGCUCUCAAAGAGUCGAGUUGUUUGGGAAUGCAGCUCAAAAUGGGUGGUAAAUUCCAUCUAAAGCUAAAUAUUGGCGAGAGACCGAUAGCGAACAAGUACCGUGAGGGAAAGAUGAAAAGCACUUUGGAAAGAGAGUUAAACAGUACGUGAAAUUGUUGAAAGGGAAACGCUUGAAGUCAGUCGCGUUAGUCAGAACUCAGCCUUGCUUUUGCUUGGUGCACUUUCUGAUUGGACGGGCCAGCAUCAGUUUUGACUGCAGGAGAAAGGUUAGAGGAAUGUGGCAUCUUCGGAUGUGUUAUAGCCUCUGAUUGUAUACUGUGAUUGGGACUGAGGAACUCAGCACGCGCAAGCUGUGCUUAGGAUGCUGGCGUAAUGGCUUUAAACGACCCGUCUUGAAACACGGACCAAGGAGUCUAACAUGCCUGCGAGUAUUUGGGUGGUAAACCCGAGUGCGCAAUGAAAGUGAAAGUUGGGAUCUCUGUCGUGGAGAGCACCGACGCCCGGACCAGACCUUCUGUGACGGAUCUGCGGUAGAGCAUGUAUGUUGGGACCCGAAAGAUGGUGAACUAUGCCUGAAUAGGGUGAAGCCAGAGGAAACUCUGGUGGAGGCUCGUAGCGAUUCUGACGUGCAAAUCGAUCGUCAAA